AUUGAACGCUGGCGGCAGGCCUAACACAUGCAAGUCGAACGGUAACAGGAAGCAGCUUGCUGCUUCGCUGACGAGUGGAGGACGGGUGAGUAAUGUCUGGGAAGCUGCCUGAUGGAGGGGGAUAACUACUGGAAACGGUAGCUAAUACCGCAUAAUGUCGCAAGACCAAAGAGGGGGACCUUUGGGCCUCUUGCCAUCGGAUGUGCCCAGAUGGGAUUAGCUUGUUGGUGGGGUAACGGCUCACCAAGGCGACGAUCCCUAUCUGGUCUGAGAGGAUGACCAGCCACACUGGGACUGAGACACGGUCCAGACUCCUACGGGAGGCAGCAGUGGGGAAUAUUGCACAAUGGGCGCAAGCCUGAUGCAGCCAUGCCGCGUGUAUGAAGAAGGCCUUCGGGUUGUAAAGUACUUUCAGCGGGGAGGAAGGGAGUAAAGUUAAUACCUUUGCUCAUGGACGUUACCCGCAGAAGAAGCACCGGCUAACUCCGU
rnacentral:rRNA from 1 species